UUGGUGAAUUAAACAAUGUAAAAGGUCACAAAUUAAUACAGUUUGACGAAGAAAGCAAUGUAGAAGGUCACACAUUAAUACAGAUUGGUGAAUAAAACAAUGUCAAAGGUCACACAUUAAUACAGUUUGGUGAAUAAAGUAAAGUCACAUGUCACACAUGAAUACAGUUUGACGAAGAAAGCAAUCUAGAAGGUCACACAUUAAUACAGUUUGGUGAAUAAAACAAUGUCAAAGGUCACACAUUAAUACAGUUUGGUGAAUAAAACAAUGUCAAAGGUCACACAUUAAUACAGUUUGGUGAAUUAAACAAUGUCAAAGGACACACAUUAAUACAGUUUGGUGAAUUAAACAAUGUCAAAGGUCACA